GAUGAACGCUGGCGGCGUGCCUAAUACAUGCAAGUCGAGCGGACAGACGAGGAGUUUGCUCCUCUGACGUUAGCGGCGGACGGGUGAGUAACACGUGUAUAACCUACCUAUAAGAUUGGGAUAACUUCGGGAAACCGUAGCUAAUACCGGAUAAUAUAUUGAACCGCAUGGUUCAAUAGUGAAAGACGGUUUUGCUUUCACUUAUCGAUGGAUCCGCGCCGCAUUAGCUAGUUGGUAAGGUAACGGCUUACCAAGGCAACGAUGCGUAGCCGACCUGAGAGGGUGAUCGGCCACACUGGAACUGAGACACGGUCCAGACUCCUACGGGAGGCAGCAGUAGGGAAUCUUCCGCAAUGGGCGAAAGCUUGACGGAGCAACGCCGCGUGAGUGAUGAAGGUCUUCGGAUCGUAAAACUCUGUUAUUAGGGAAGAACAAAUGUGUAAGUAACUAGGCACGUCUUGACGGUACCUGAUCAGAAAGCCACGGCUAACUACGUG
rnacentral:rRNA from 1 species